rnacentral:rRNA from 1 species
UACGUAGGGUCCGAGCGUUGUCCGGAAUUAUUGGGCGUAAAGGGCUCGUAGGCGGUUUGUCGCGUCGGGAGUGAAAACACCGGGCUUAACUCGGUGCUUGCUUUCGAUACGGGCAGACUAGAGGCAUGCAGGGGAGAACGGAAUUCCUGGUGUAGCGGUGAAAUGCGUAGAUAUCGUAAGGAAGACCAGUGGCGAAGGCGGGUCUCUGGACAGUUCCUGACGCUGAGGCACGAAGGCCAGGGGAGCGAACGGG